rnacentral:rRNA from 1 species
AGUGAACGCUGGCGGUAGGCCUAACGCAUGCAAGUCGAACGGCAGCACAGUAAGAGCUUGCUCUUACGGGUGGCGAGUGGCGGACGGGUGAGGAAUACAUCGGAAUCUACUUUUUCGUGGGGGAUAACGUAGGGAAACUUACGCUAAUACCGCAUACGACCUACGGGUGAAAGCAGGGGAUCUUCGGACCUUGCGCGAUUGAAUGAGCCGAUGUCGGAUUAGCUAGUUAGCGGGGUAAAGGCCCACCAAGGCGACGAUCCGUAGCUGGUCUGAGAGGAUGAUCAGCCACACUGGAACUGAGACACGGUCCAGACUCCUACGGGAGGCAGCAGUGGGGAAUAUUGGACAAUGGGCGCAAGCCUGAUCCAGCUAUACCGCGUGGGUGAAGAAGGCCUUCGGGUUGUAAAGCCCUUUUGUUGGGAAAGAAAAGCAGCAGGUUAAUACCCCGCUGUUCUGACGGUACCCAAAGAAUAAGCACCGGCUAACUUCGUG